CAGGAAUCGAGAACAAAAUAUCCGACAGUGAGCAGGCUUGUUUCUUUACCACCACCCCUCUGUGUCUUUUGAGACCUAUGUCUGUCCGAUAAGUAGGAAGUUUGCCUUUUUUGAGAAAAGUCUGUCAGGAGUCAAUCUGUAAUGCCCUUACAAUACGCCACUUCCGAGAUAUCAGCUCUUUUGUGAUGGAGGACCCAAAUCACAUAAACAAUACCAUAUCGAGAACAAGACAAGCACGGAUCCCUGGAGACACAGAAGUAGGGAUCAGGUGCCUAGGAGGAGUAAGCAUAUCCCGUUGACUAGUCAC